AGUAACAGAAUCCAUAUCAAACCUUAAAUACUAGUUCAAAGGAAAUAAUGAAUCAAACUAUCAAAGUAGUGAACACAACAAUCAUUACAUAAUUGAAAUCACUGACAAAAUGAUAUUCAUGUUAUUGGUUAAAAAUCUCAUUUCCACCGUUCUAUACUACCAACUAUAUCAAACUCUUGCAACAUUAAAAUUAUCAAGAAAAAGACUGGAAUAUUCACUACCGUGUUUUGCCCAAGAGGAGCUCUGAGUUAGCUGAUCAAAAGUUAAGCAUUCUUCUCUGCCUUCUCAACCUUUGCUUUCUCUGUGAAUCUAAAAGUUGUUACCUUCAUUGCAGGGACUUCAUAAGCCUGAAUAUCAUCAGUGACACAUUCCCAACAAGCACUGCAAUUUUGUCUUCCUUUCCCUUCACGAAGUGACAAGAUGAGAGAGAAAGUGGGGCCUUGUUAACCUUGCUCAUGAACAGUCUCUUCAAUAUAACUGGAUUGAACUUGCUUCCAGUUCUCCUAACGAGGAAUCAACACAGACUGACUAGAAGUUGGAGGAACAUUGAUGAUGUUGACAAGACAAUGGAUGAGAUAAACGAACAAACAGAAAACAUGAAGCAGAUAUAGGAAGCCUUGGCUACCCCCAUUGGUGCAGCAGCUGAUUUUGAUGAGGACGAAUUGGAGGCCGAGCUUGAAGAAUUGGAAGGUGAAGAGUUAAGGAACAGCUUCU